AUUGAACGCUGGCGGCAGGCCUAACACAUGCAAGUCGAACGGUAACAGGAAGAAGCUUGCUUCUUUGCUGACGAGUGGCGGACGGGUGAGUAAUGUCUGGGAAACUGCCUGAUGGAGGGGGAUAACUACUGGAAACGGUAGCUAAUACCGCAUAACGUCGCAAGACCAAAGAGGGGGACCUUCGGGCCUCUUGCCAUCGGAUGUGCCCAGAUGGGAUUAGCUAGUAGGUGGGGUAACGGCUCACCUAGGCGACGAUCCCUAGCUGGUCUGAGAGGAUGACCAGCAACACUGGAACUGAGACACGGUCCAGACUCCUACGGGAGGCAGCAGUGGGGAAUAUUGCACAAAGGGCGCAAGCCUGAUGCAGCCAUGCCGCGUGUAUGAAGAAGGCCUUCGGGUUGUAAAGUACUUUCAGCGGGGAGGAAGGGAGUAAAGUUAAUACCUUUGCUCAUUGACGUUACCCGCAGAAGAAGCACCGGCUAACUCCGUG
rnacentral:rRNA from 1 species